UACGAGAGCCCCGAGCGUUAUCCGGAAUUACUGGGUGUAUAGGGUGCGUAGGUGGCUGUAUUAGUCUUUUGUUAAAUCUUUGGGCUCAACCCAAAAAUCGCGAAAGAAACGGUACAGCUUGAGAAUGUGAGGGGUGUACGGAACUCAUGGUGUAGGGGUGAAAUCCGUUGAUAUCAUGGGGAACACCAAAAGCGAAGGCAGUACACUGGCACAUAUCUGACACUGAGGCACGAAAGCGUGGGUAGCGAAUGGG
rnacentral:misc_RNA from 1 species